rnacentral:misc_RNA from 1 species
GAAUUCUCAACCACACACAUGUGUUGGCUUGGACUUGGGAGUUGCUGGCGUCGCGAGACGUCGGCCCUCCUCAAACGCAUUAGCAGAGAGUCUGUCCGGACAUGCACGGCCUGGCAUCGACGUGAUAACGAUCGUCGUCGCCGGGCUGGAGCAUCCAGAUCUGCCACCUCUGCUUCGAACCCGGCCAGCUCAAGCUCAGCUACUAGUCCUCCAUGGCAAACGUGAGCUUGCUGCCUUUGACCC